CACACCGCCCGUCACUCCAUGGGAGUUUGUUGCACCAGAAGCAGGUAGCUUAACCUUCGGGAGGGCGCUUGCCACGGUGUGGCCGAUGACUGGGGUG
rnacentral:rRNA from 1 species